rnacentral:rRNA from 1 species
GAUCAUGGCUCAGGAUGAACGCUAGCUACAGGCUUAACACAUGCAAGUCGAGGGGCAGCAUUGGAGUAGCAAUACUCAGAUGGCGACCGGCGCACGGGUGAGUAACACGUAUCCAACCUGCCGCUUACUCGGGGAUAGCCUUUCGAAAGAAAGAUUAACACCCGAUGGUAUAAAGAGUUCGCAUGUUCUCUUUAUUAAAGAAUUUCGGUAAGCGAUGGGGAUGCGUUCCAUUAGAUUGUUGGCGGGGUAACGGCCCACCAAGUCUACGAUGGAUAGGGGUUCUGAGAGGAAGGUCCCCCACAUUGGAACUGAGACACGGUCCAAACUCCUACGGGAGGCAGCAGUGAGGAAUAUUGGUCAAUGGACGCGAGUCUGAACCAGCCAAAAGUAGCGUGAAGGAUGACUGCCCUAUGGGUUGUAAACUUCUUUUAUAAGGGAAUAAAGUGAGGGACGUGUCCCUUUUUGUAUGUACCUUAUGAAUAAGGAUCGGCUAACUCCGUGCCAGCCGCGGC